GGAAAAGUCACAACACGAUCUCUCUCAGCAGCACCUCUUCCACUGUCUUUCAGUUCUCAGCCGCCACAACCCAUGGACCUGCUGUGCCUUUUAGUGCUGGUUCUCUUUGGAGACGUUUUCGGUCGUCAAGACUGGAUCUCUGAAUCAGAAGUGAGAGUGAGACCAGGAGAUAACGUCACUCUGUACUGUGACUGUGAACUAGACACUGGAGUGCACAUAGUCUGGUACCGGAACUGUUCCCAUGAGAACCAGCCAACUCUUAUUAUGGGUUCAAGAUCAAUCUCAGAAUAUUUUCCUCGUUUCACGUUUGUGAGGAAUUUCUCCAGCAACACCUACGACCUCCUGGUCACUAAUAUCACUGAUUCUGAAGAAGGCCUCUAUUACUGUGGAACUGAAAACACUGAGGUGAAGGAUGAAGAACACAUCACCCUGACAUAUGUCUACAGGUUUGGAAAUGCCACCAGGAUCAUACUGGACUCAGAACAACAUACCAGUCAUCUGAUCAGCGCCACCUGCUGGACACCGUGUUUCUCUCUGUCUCUAGUUUUUGCUGCUCUUCCUUUUCUUUGCAUGUCUCCGCUGAUUUAUCGUGGCUGUCGGAAAAGAGGGUUCCAGAGUGAUGGUCAAAGCUCUGAUCCAGGAGAUGAAAGAAGCCUCAUCAAGGAUGAAGACGUGUGUCUUGCAGCACUGGAGCUUCUUCAGUCAUCUCAAAGACCGAAGAGCAAAAGGCAGACCUUUGACCUCAGUACGUUCUCCGUAUGUCGAUACAAACACCUUCGUUAAAUCUCAGAUGUACAAACGCAAAACAAUAUAAUCUGAAAUACUUCAUUCUCCCUAUUUUAAGGUGGGUGCUUUUUUCUUUUCUUUCCUACAAAUGUUUUAGGAAGGUUGCUAUGAAGCUUGUGUUUCAUGUUGGCUCUCUGCAGGGGUGUUAGAAAACUGUUGUUAAAAAAGUUUUAUUGCUCACAAGUGAAAUCAGGACAUAUUUUGUUCCACAUUACUGUUAAUUUUUCUUGAACGCUGUUGCUGUUACAUUCAAAUUGCAUUUAAAUGUGAGUUAUUUGGCAUCGCAGCCACUUUCUACAUCAUUUUAUCAAUGUCGCUGUUCAUGUAUAUUCAUGUUUUUAUUAUCUCUUCAAUGAUUUUACCAGAUUUCCUUGUCUUCUUCCGUGAUUGUGACUUUCUUUUGUAUAAUAGUGGUAUUUUUCAAUUUCGAGGACCAGAUUUAGAAAGUUUGAGUCAACGAAAUUAUUUCUUAACUAAUGAUUUGUAUCAGUGACUGAUUCACACAAAUCCUCUAAUUGAUUUGGCUUCAGUCCUGUAACACACUGUAUUUAGUGAUGGAUCUGAGCUCCCUGAACCACCUUCAGUUCUUUCAAAAUGCUGCCGUUCAGCUCAUAACUGGGACAUGUGAGCACAUUCAUUCGUUGCCUCCUGUCAUGAAUAAAGCUGAUUACAGGACUCUAGUCUACUACUGACCUCUAAGGCUUUCAAUGGUCCUCCAACCUGAUUAAUUAAGGUCAAGCGUUUGUCUUUGAGAACUACAACUUUGUCAAAGCUUCUCUUACCAGCAUCACAUCUCAAAAAUUUUUAAUUUUCACUUUUCAUCUAUUAUGAGGCUGAUUAUUAAAAAUGUUCUGGC